AUCCAGCUGACGAGUCCCAAGUAGAACGAAACGAUCGCCAGAACUGGAU
rnacentral:hammerhead_ribozyme from 1 species